rnacentral:snRNA from 1 species
GGAUGUGAGGACAAUCUGACUGUGACACCUGUCACUGCAUUGAUCACCAGGGCUCAUUCAGCUAAUCUGGCUGGCUAGGUGGGUGACUCCUUCCUCCCUCACUGCUCCAAAUGUGUCCCUCCUGAAUAAAGAUCAGUCUUUGGUAGGGGGCAUACAGUGCUCCCCUGCUAGAACCUACAAACAAACUCUCAAGAUAGUUAGCAGACUUAUAAAUGCAAUUAUAAAACAAUGCAGGGGCCUCCAU